CCUACGGGAGGCAGCAGUAGGGAAUAUUGCUCAAUGGGGGAAACCCUGAAGCAGCCACGCCGCGUGGAGGAUGAAGGUUUUCGGAUUGUAAACUCCUUUUUUUAGAGAAGAUAAUGACGGUAUCUAACGAAUAAGCACCGGCUAACUCCGUGCCAGCAGCCGCGGUAAUACGGCGGGUGCAAGCGUUACUCGGAAUCACUGGGCGUAAAGAGCGCGUAGGCGGGAUAGCAAGUCAGAUGUGAAAUCCUAGGGCUUUACCAUAGAACUGCAUUUGAAACUGUUAUUCUAGAGUAUGGGAGAGGUAGGUGGAAUUCUUGGUGUAGGGGUAAAAUCCGUAGAGAUCAAGAGGAAUACUCAUUGCGAAGGCGACCUGCUAGAACAUAACUGACGCUGAUGCGCGAAAGCGUGGGGAGCAAACAGGAUUAGAUACCCCAGUAGUC
rnacentral:rRNA from 1 species